rnacentral:rRNA from 1 species
GACGAACGCUGGCGGCGUGCUUAACACAUGCAAGUCGAACGGUGAACGAGGGAGCUUGCUCCCUCCGGAUCAGUGGCGAACGGGUGAGUAACACGUGAGCAAUCUGCCCCGAACUCUGGGAUAAGCGUUGGAAACGACGUCUAAUACCGGAUACGACUCGGGAGGGCAUCCUCUCCGCGUGGAAAGAACUUCGGUUCGGGAUGAGCUCGCGGCCUAUCAGCUUGUUGGUGAGGUAACGGCUCACCAAGGCGACGACGGGUAGCCGGCCUGAGAGGGUGACCGGCCACACUGGGACUGAGACACGGCCCAGACUCCUACGGGAGGCAGCAGUGGGGAAUAUUGCACAAUGGGCGCAAGCCUGAUGCAGCAACGCCGCGUGAGGGACGACGGCCUUCGGGUUGUAAACCUCUUUUAGCAGGGAAGAAGCGAAAGUGACGGUACCUGCAGAAAAAGCACCGGCUAACUACGUG